GAUCAUGGCUCAGGAUGAACGCUAGCUACAGGCUUAACACAUGCAAGUCGAGGGGCAGCAUGUGGUGCUGCAACCAAUGAUGGCGACCGGCGCACGGGUGAGUAACGCGUAUCCAACCUUCCCUAUAGUAGAGGAUAGCCCGGCGAAAGUCGGAUUAAUACUCUAUGUUUUCCAAUGCAGACAUCUAAAAUGGAACAAAGGUUCACCGCUAUAGGAUGGGGGAUGCGUCUGAUUAGAUAGUCGGCGGGGUAACGGCCCACCGAGUCGACGAUCAGUAGGGGUUCUGAGAGGAAGGUCCCCCACAUUGGAACUGAGACACGGUCCAAACUCCUACGGGAGGCAGCAGUGAGGAAUAUUGGUCAAUGGGCGAGAGCCUGAACCAGCCAAGUAGCGUGCAGGAAGACGGCCCUAUGGGUUGUAAACUGCUUUUAUACAGGGAUAAAGUGACGUACGUGUACGUUAUUGUAGGUACUGUAUGAACAAGGACCGGCUAAUUCCGUGCCAGCCGCUGC
rnacentral:rRNA from 1 species